AAUCUAUGGAUGGGAGGAGACCGGGUUGAGGAGACUGGGUGGGACUUUAGGAAGGAGAAGGACUUGAAUGGGGCCCAAGGUGAAAAAUGGAAUUUGACUGGGAAGAUGGGAGAGGAGUCUGAGAAUGGGUGGGGCCUGGGUGGUCUUUGGUUGAAAGAGUCAGUUGGGAUGUGGAAACAAGGAGGGGAGUCUCAGGUGGAGGAGGGGCUUUAGAAAGGAGCGUUUGUAGGUGGCCAUGGCCCAGCCAACCUAGAGAAAAGUUGCUUGGCUGAGUAGAAGUCGUGGUCGAGUGGUGGGUGAGGCCUUAUGUGUGGGAGAAGUCUAAAAUGUGAGAAUUGUGAGAUACUGGAGGAACUGGGAAACAGUGGGAGACCCAGGGAGCUGAGAAGAGAAACAGAACUUGGGAGACAUGGGGCAUGGAUUCCUGAAGACUGGACUCUCACACGUAGGUCCUGUAGAUGUGCAGACGGACAGGGCAUUGCAAACCCUGGGCCCUGGGCUCGAGUCCCUGGAGAGUCACCUCCCCCGCGCCUGCUGAGCGCAACCAGCGCUGCUCCUCCGCUCCCACCGCCCCCGCAGCGGCUGGCUCCCUCCUCAUACCACCCACGCGCUCCCUCCAGCCGUGGGGCUUCUGCCUUGCCAUCAGCGGGCCGAUGAUGGUUUUCCGUCCCUGUAUCUCUGACCUCCCAGGCUAUAUCUCUCUGGAAUCUGGACUCAGUCCUCAGUCUUUCUUUCUGCAUCGGGUUAUGCUUUAAAUCAGAAGCCCUAAGCUGCUCUCCAUAUUUCUCUCUUUGGGAUGAGCAGGUGGACUGGUGGCGGUUGCUUGGAGUGGAGCCCUAUCAUCAUCCCUAGCCAAAUUCUAGAGACAGAGGGUAUGGCAGAGUUGUCUUUUUAUGGUUCUUGUCCUUCUGAUCGUCUAACUUGCUCCCUUCUUGCUGCUGCAAUUCUGUGGGACUUUCCUCCCCCACGAGGCUUCCCCAGCCUGGGACACCCUCUGUCCUCCCCCAUCUCCCGCCUCCGCCCAAGCUUCCAGCUGUGGCUUCAGGAGACAAGAGAACAGGAGGCUAAUUAGCGUUUAGGGAAACACAUCCUUCCUCUGACGGGCAGGCGCUAAUUAGAGGAGCUCUGAAGCAACCAGGCUGGGGUGGAGGCCUGGGCAGGAUCAACACAGAGACUGGAGGAAUCAGAGACUUAAUGGAGAUAGCCAAAGGCAAAACAGAGAGACG
rnacentral:lncRNA from 1 species